UGAAUUAAGAGGAAAAUGUAAAUUAUAUUCAUAUUUUGUAUUAAUCAGUAUCUAUAUGUUGUAAUAAUUUAAAAAAAAAUCCCCUUUUUCGAACUUCGAAUCCAAAUAUUUCGAUUUUAGAGACUAACUUCGAAACUUUUUUUACUUAUGACUCAAUCUCCUUGAAAAUAUUAGUUUGUCCAAUACCCAGAAAAGCCGUGUAGUGUAAUGAUUGAGUUUCGGACAUUUUUUUAGUUUCAACAUUAGCAAUUACACACUUUAUACCGUAAUUACAUGUUGCCUAGGCGCUCAAAAAUAUCAAAAAAAUAUGUUUUUUUUUUCGUUUUUACACAAACUUUCACUUUCUACACGUCUGGGACGGGAAGUUACAAAUAGUUCUUUCGAUUUGUUUUCUUAAAAAAAAUUUUGGAAAUUAUUUUUUAAUAUACGAACGAACGAAAUUGCCGCAAACUACCAACAGUGAAUACUAGCGAAUUGCUUGCUACUCACUGGUGUUAGAAGUUGUGGGGUUGCCGAUGGCGAUGAGACGUCUGUGGUGAAUUUAAUGCCCGAUCCCAAAUCGAAGUCGCAUAUCUUAAUCGGGCACAAUUUGUCUGGAUAGACACAUAGAAUAUUUUCCGGCUUCAGAUCACGA